UAGCUCAGUUGGUAGAGCAUCUCCCUUUUAAGGAGAGGGUCCUGGGUUCGAGCCCC
rnacentral:tRNA from 1 species